UCCCAUAUGGUCUAGCGGUUAGGAUUCCUGGCUUUUUUCCAGGUGGCCUGGGUUCAACUCCCGGUAUGGGAA
rnacentral:tRNA from 1 species